rnacentral:tRNA from 1 species
GACUCCGUGGCUCAGUUGGUUAGAGCGUAGCACUGUUACUCUUCCGACGGCGUCAGCUUCUUCGUCUGUCCCUGCGUGCUCUUCCGGCAGCAUGCAAGGUGGGAAGCUGUCCCGUCAACAUCCCUCGUUCCAGACGGUUCAGUGAAAGCCAGUAUAUGGAAAAAAAAGAGAUGCUAAGGUCGGCGGUUCGAGCCCGCCCGGGGUCG